CGGGGGAGGCCGGAUCCUGGGCUGUGUCCCGGCGCCCUGUGCUCCGGGGCCUGCGCUGUUGGAUUUGAGCUCCCGCCCCGCAGCCCCCU
rnacentral:pre_miRNA from 1 species